rnacentral:misc_RNA from 1 species
UAUAUAGCUGUUGGCGUUAUCAGAAGUGGUGACGCAUCUGUUACUGUUCUGUGGAUAGAAUAAAAAAAAAUCGAUCGGUCCAGGAAUUCUGCGACUCUAGAGGGCGCUGAGCAUCCCCAAACCUAAACAAAAAAUCGAUAUUCCAGUGAAAGCAGAGAGACUAUUGGAAAUCCGAGCAUCAAUUUAACGCGUAGGAGUCAAGCUAAGGAAUUGUCGCUAUAGAAACGCAAAUACGUCAAUUUUAUGUUAAUUUUUCGUUGUUUUCUCCAUAUGUGUUGCUAGUUCUCAUUAACAGGAAACGCCACUGUAGAGGGUUGUAUUUUUGUAUUUCACCUAUAUAGAGUGUAAACAAGCCUGGCCUCGGGCGCUAUCUGUGAGGCCGACAUUUACAUCACGACAGGACUGCGAUAAGAUGGGACGAAUGGCCACUAGGGCCAUGAUUAAAUUAACGUUGUGCGUGGGGAUAAUCCUCACGGUCAGGGGUGCCCCCCAGAGGAGGGACACCUUAAAAAUCCCCCUUAAAAUGCCUCAAGUCUCACCGAAAGUGAAAGAUACGUAUCUUUGCCACGCAAUAGAGACUAGUCAAAAGAAGCCAACAUAUAUCACCGGGUUUGAACCAGAUGCCAAUAAAGACAUAGCACAUCACAUACUGAUCUACGGAUGCACGACCCCCGGGAGUCGGGAUAGCGUGUGGAAUUGUGGGGAAAUGGCCCAUACUACAGAUGAAUAUUCAACUGCAGGGGUGUGUGGGAGCGGAUCUCAAAUUGUGUAUGCCUGGGCAAUGGAUGCGCCUAGUCUCACAUUGCCGAAAGAUGUGGGCUUCAAGGUUGGCGGCGACUCGGAUAUCAAGUAUCUAGUCCUACAGGUCCAUUACAAGAACGUGGACAAUUUCCUACCGCCCAAGAAUGAGAAGGACAGUUCUGGUGUGACCCUCCUAACUACCAGCACCCCAAUGCCACGCUCAGCCGGUGUGUACCUACUGGGGACCGGCGGAAGUAUCCCCCCGAAAUCUGUGGAGUACAUGGAGACUGCCUGUGAACUGCGCGAGGACAUCGUGAUGCACCCCUUCGCCUUCCGAACACACGCCCACACACACGGUGAAGUGACCGCCGGAUAUCGUAUCAGAGACGGGAAAUGGACAGAAAUCGGCAGAAUGAGUCCCCACAAACCACAGAUGUUUUACAACGUCACGAGUCCUGGUAUAGAGGUCCGUCAGGGAGACAUUUUGGCUGCUAGAUGCACAAUGAAAAAUGAUGAGUCAAGAACUAUCCAGAUUGGGUAAGAAAACAGUCUGAUAAAAUAGAUGAAUAAAAAGGACACCGCUCAAUGCUAUAUUUAGCGUCAACUCAUUUUCUCUUCCAGAGCUACCCAGAACGACGAGAUGUGUAAUUUCUACAUCAUGUAUUUUGUGGACGGAACACGAACCGCUGUAAACCACAACUGUUUCACGGCAGGACCGCCAUACUAUUACUGGGACAACUCGCCGCUCAAACACAAGAUGAAUCUCAAAGACGCCCCGCAAACAGCCAGUCUAAUCCCAGACAAAAACGUCUACCUCAAGAUCUCAUCUCCCUCACAUCCGGGCAUUUCGCAAAAGGAUGUGACGUUGGAUGAGAACCUACAAGACCGUCGCCUGGCACGUCUGCUGGACUACCUUAAUAAUGCGUAUGGCGAUCCCGACUACUAUCCACCAUUGUAGACACCACGUGUCUUCUCUGUUUACGGGGCUCACUAAAGGGACUACUAUUUUUAUUUCUUCUUUAUUUUUAAGAAUGGGACAAAGAACACACACUAUAUAUCUUCCACUUUCUUAAUGACGUUCGGUUCAGCACAGUCGGUUAAGCGCACGCAUGCGUAUGACCCCCCCCCCCAAUGGUUUUAGGACUGUCUGGUUGUUUUUAAUUAUCUUUUUAUCUUUUAUCUUCAUAUGUACAGAAUUUUAGGAAUGCUUUUAAUGCAAAAUGCUGAAAAUUUUAAUGGAUGAUUUUAUAUUUUAAAACUUGAGCCACAGUUUUGCCAUCUUCGCUAGCCAAGCGUUUUUGGUCCACUCUGUUCCCCUCUGUUGUUUGUGAGGAGGGUGCGGAUCAGAAACCCUUGACUUUGGAAGAUGCAGUUUUGCCCUUACUAAUCUAUUGUGUCCCAUUCGUCCUAAAGUAUACAUCAUAAAACGAAGGUCAAUUCUGUCUCAGUAAGGAUCCUUAUUUCAUAUCGUGGGAGAAAAAACGAAUUUGACAUAUAUAAAAUUUACUGCUUUUUCAGCGACAAGUGUUCAUUAUAUUUUGAUGUUCAAAUGAAUGUUCAAGGGACAAUUUGGUAUUGUUUGUUAUUACAAUGUUUAUUUCAAUGUUGGAUAUGUUUUAAAUGUUUUAAAUAAAGUUUUCAAAAACUGC